CUUGCUGGGGGUGGAUGAGUGGCGAACGGGUGAGUAACACGUGAGUAACCUGCCCCGAACUCUGGGAUAAGCGCUGGAAACGGCGUCUAAUACUGGAUAUGUCCUAUCACCGCAUGGUGUGUAGGUGGAAAGAAUUUUGGUUCGGGAUGGACUCGCGGCCUAUCAGCUAGAUGGUGAGGUAAUGGCUCACCAUGGCGACGACGGGUAGCCGGCCUGAGAGGGUGACCGGCCACACUGGGACUGAGACACGGCCCAGACUCCUACGGGAGGCAGCAGUGGGGAAUAUUGCACAAUGGGCGCAAGCCUGAUGCAGCAACGCCGCGUGAGGGAUGACGGCCUUCGGGUUGUAAACCUCUUUUAGUAGGGAAGAAGCGAAAGUGACGGUACCUGCAGAAAAAGCACCGGCUAACUACGUGCCAGCAGCCGCGGUAAUACGUAGGGUGCAAGCGUUGUCCGGAAUUAUUGGGCGUAAAGAGCUCGUAGGCGGCUUGUCGCGUCUGCUGUGAAAACCAGAGGCUCAACCUCUGGCCUGCAGUGGGUACGGGCAAGCUAGAGUGCGGUAGGGGAGAUUGGAAUUCCUGGUGUAGCGGUGGAAUGCGCAGAUAUCAGGAGGAACACCGAUGGCGAAGGCAGAUCUCUGGGCCGUAACUGACGCUGAGGAGCGAAAGCAUGGGGAGCGAACAGGAUUAGAUACCCUGGUAGUCCAUGCCGUAAACGUUGGGAAC
rnacentral:rRNA from 1 species